rnacentral:rRNA from 1 species
UACGUAGGGUGCAAGCGUUGUCCGGAAUUAUUGGGCGUAAAGAGCUCGUAGGCGGUCUGUCGCGUCUGCUGUGAAAACUCGGGGCUUAACCCCGGGCCUGCAGUGGGUACGGGCAAACUAGAGUGCGGUAGGGGAGAUUGGAAUUCCUGGUGUAGCGGUGAAAUGCGCAGAUAUCGGGAAGAACACCCGUGGCGAAGGCGGCUCUCUGGGACGGUACUGACGCUGAGACGCGAAAGCGUGGGGAGCGAACGAGG